rnacentral:lncRNA from 1 species
CGGGGCUCGCCGGGGAGCCAAUCAGGUGUCAGAACGAAGCGCUUAGGCGACAAUCCCGGCCUCGGGGGGCGGGGCCUCGGGCCGGGGAGAGGAGGGCGUAUGCUAACUAAGCGAAGCGCCGGGUGGCUUCUGCCUCCCGAUUGGCUAAGGGUUUAUCCUUGAGGGCGGGCAUUUAGAGGGCUAAUUGGUGACUUGGCUAAAGAGGUCCGGCGAGAGGGGCGGGUGGGUCCCGGCAGAGCGCAUGCGUGGGGUGCACGCGUGUGUGCUCGCUCCGAACCAACUGUGGCCUUGCGGCUUGAACUUUAGCAAAAAACGGAAAGGCUGUGCGUUAAGCCAGCGCUGCUAAAGAUGAAGCUGAUCCCUUCCUCUUUGAAUCCUCUGCCCUGAAACUGAUGGCAUAUAUCCCCACAAGUUGCUCUUCAAUCUCCCCUGCCACCAGCCUCCAGAUCGGCUAUACAGGACCCUGAAUCCUGCCGUCACCCCCUCAUCAUCACCUGCCCUCACCUCGAAGCAUCCUCCCACUCUGUCUUGAUGAAUAUUUCUUGCCCUCUGCCUUCCAACAUUUAGACCUUCCCCAUCUUUAAAGCAAAACAGACCUUAACUUGUCCUUGCUAGAUGGAAAGUUGAAAAGUGGUGAGGACUCGGACCAUUCCCAGGUAUUUCAGCACAUCUUCUAAGAAUCUUAGGCUGUCUGAACAUGGAAAUGUCCCUCUGAGUCCUCUGAAGUGGUACAGUCCAAAAGACAUCAUUUAUCUCCCUCAACAGGGCCCACUGAGCCAACUUUCUGAAAGCCCAAGAACUGGCAAAGGGCAGCCGGACCCUGCCCAUUGUUCCUGGGUUCUUUUUUGCUGAGCCAUUUGUUCCAAGUUCCAUUCUGCUACCUAGGCUGGAAAUUCCAGACAUGCUCAGCUCAAAGGAAUGCAGCUCAUGCCGGCCAAAGAGCUUGCCAGGAAAUAGGGAACAACUUUUCAUUUGUGGCUUCUUUGCAUUUGUGGCUUCCUCUCUCACAUCUGAGAAGCAGACUGUGCUACUGCCUGAGCUGUUCAACCAACCUUUUCCAGUUGGAGAGCAGAUGCCUUCAAGGUCAAGUGUCUGCUUUCUGGAGUCAGACCUGGAUUUGAAUCAAAGCUCUGCCUCUUCCCAGCAAGUCUCUUCACUUCUCUGCACCUCAGGUGUUUUCAUCUGUAAAGGGGAUGAUGAACACUGCUGCCUGUGGAGUUGUGAGGACUACAUGAGGCAAGGAAUUGAGGACCAUUCAGCUCAGUGCCUGGAAUCAGCCCAAUUAAGGUUAGGCGGUGUUGUUACUAAGAACAUUUAGGGGCACCUGGGUGGCUCAGCUGGUUAAACAUCUGCCUUUGGCUCGGGUCAUAAUCUGAGUCCUGGGAUCGAGCCCCACGUCAGGCUCCAUGCUCAGUGAGGGGCCUGCUUUUCCCUCUGUCUGCCCACCUUGUGUUUUCUGUCAAGUAAAUAAAAUCUCUUAAAAAAGAAAAGAGUGUUCA